rnacentral:rRNA from 1 species
UUCGGGGUACUCGAGUGGCGAACGGGUGAGUAACACGUGGGUGAUCUGCCCUGCACUUUGGGAUAAGCCUGGGAAACUGGGUCUAAUACCGAAUAUGACCAUGCGCCUCCUGGUGUGUGGUGGAAAGCUUUUGCGGUGUGGGAUGGGCCCGCGGCCUAUCAGCUUGUUGGUGGGGUAAUGGCCUACCAAGGCGACGACGGGUAGCCGGCCUGAGAGGGUGACCGGCCACACUGGGACUGAGAUACGGCCCAGACUCCUACGGGAGGCAGCAGUGGGGAAUAUUGCACAAUGGGCGCAAGCCUGAUGCAGCGACGCCGCGUGAGGGAUGACGGCCUUCGGGUUGUAAACCUCUUUCAGCACAGACGAAGCGCAAGUGACGGUAUGUGCAGAAGAAGGACCGGCCAACUACGUGCCAGCAGCCGCGGUAAUACGUAGGGUCCGAGCGUUGUCCGGAAUUACUGGGCGUAAAGAGCUCGUAGGUGGUUUGUCGCGUUGUUCGUGAAAACUCACAGCUUAACUGUGGGCGUGCGGGCGAUACGGGCAGACUUGAGUACUGCAGGGGAGACUGGAAUUCCUGGUGUAGCGGUGGAAUGCGCAGAUAUCAGGAGGAACACCGGUGGCGAAGGCGGGUCUCUGGGCAGUAACUGACGCUGAGGAGCGAAAGCGUGGGGAGCGAACAGGAUUAGAUACCCUGGUAGUCCACGCCGUAAACGGUGGGUACUAGGUGUGGGUUUCCUUCCUUGGGAUCCGUGCCGUAGCUA